rnacentral:rRNA from 1 species
AAUAGAUACCCCGGUAGUCCACGCCGUAAACGAUGGAUACUAGCUGUUUGAGCGCAAGUUUGAGUGGCUAAGCGAAAGUGAUAAGUAUCCCACCUGGGGAGUACGGGCGCAAGCCUGAAACUCAAAGGAAUUGACGGGGGCCCGCACAAGCGGUGGAGCAUGUGGUUUAAUUCGAUGAUACGCGAGGAACCUUACCAGGGCUUAAAUGUAGAUUGACGUAUUUGGAAACAGAUAUUUCUUCGGACAAUUUACAAGGUGCUGCAUGGUUGUCGUCAGCUCGUGCCGUGAGGUGUCAGGUUAAGUCCUAUAACGAGCGCAACCCCUGUUGUUAGUUGCCAGCGAGUAAUGUCGGGAACUCUAGCAAGACUGCCAGUGUAAACUGUGAGGAAGGUGGGGAUGACGUCAAAUCAUCACGGCCCUUACGUCCUGGGCCACACACGUGUUACAAUGGCCGGUACAGAGAGCAGCCACUUAGCGAUAAGGAGCGAAUCUAUAAAGCCGGUCACAGUUCGGAUCGGAGUCUGCAACUCG